GUAGGUGGCAAGCGUUGUCCGGAAUUAUUGGGCGUAAAGCGCGCGCAGGCGGUUCUUUAAGUCUGAUGUGAAAGCCCACGGCUCAACCGUGGAGGGUCAUUGGAAACUGGAGAACUUGAGUACAGAAGAGGAAAGCGGAAUCCACGUGUAGCGGUGAAAUGCGUAGAGAUGUGGAGGAACACCAGUGGCGAAGGCGGCUUUCUGGUCUGUAACUGACGCUGAGGCGCGAAAGCGUGGGGAGCAAACAGGGAUUAGAUACCCUGGUAGUCCACGCCGUAAACGAUGAGUGCUAAGUGUUAGGGGGGGUUUCCCGCCCCCUUAGUGCUGCAGCUAACGCAUUAAGCACUCCGCCUGGGGAGUACGGCCGCAAGGCUG
rnacentral:rRNA from 1 species